GCCGAAAUAGCUCAAUUGGUAGAGCAACAUUUUCGUAAAAUGUAUGGUGGAGGUUCGAUUCCUCUUUUCGGCU
rnacentral:tRNA from 1 species